CUCUAGCUGGGUGACUAAGGAUGGGGUUCCUGCACCCCUCAGAGGUCGCUUGGACGUGGCGUCUCUUCUCCCUCCUGCAGAGGCUCCAGCAUAGAGGCCUUCACCCCAGGCCCUGCAGUGAAGAUGGGGGCAGAGAAGCAGCCAAGCACAACAGCCAGGAAGCCGAGGGGGAACUUAUCUUUGGUGGUUUGUUACCACAGCAUAACUGAGACCACACUGGCCCAUGCAACUGAUAAUCCCACCAUUCAAGUUAAUCACUGUGAAAAUUCGUGCAUGCAAAUGAACACACAUAUGUACAUGA